GGGCCCGCACAAGCGGUGGAGCAUGUGGUUUAAUUCGAUGAUACGCGAGGAACCUUACCAGGGCUUAAAUGCAGAACGACCGGGGUGGAAACACCCCUUUCUUCGGACGGUCUGCAAGGUGCUGCAUGGUUGUCGUCAGCUCGUGCUGUGAAGUGUCGGGUUAAGUCCCAUAACGAGCGCAACCCCUAUUUCUAGUUGCCAGCGGUUCGGCCGGGGACUCUAGAGAAACUGCCAGCGUAAGCUGUGAGGAAGGUGGGGAUGACGUCAAAUCAUCACGGCCCUUACGUCCUGGGCCACACACGUGCUACAAUGGUGGGGACAACGAGUCGCUAACCCGCGAGGGUAAGCUAAUCUUCAAACCCCAUCUCAGUUCGGAUCGGAGUCUGCAACUCGACUCCGUGAAGUUGGAAUCGCUAGUAAUCG
rnacentral:rRNA from 1 species